rnacentral:rRNA from 1 species
UACGUAGGUGGCAAGCGUUGUCCGGAUUUAUUGGGCGUAAAGCGCGCGCAGGCGGUCCUUUAAGUCUGAUGUGAAAUCUCGCGGCUCAACCGCGAGCGGUCAUUGGAAACUGGGGGACUUGAGUGCAGAAGAGAAGAGCGGAAUUCCACGUGUAGCGGUGAAAUGCGUAGAGAUGUGGAGGAACACCAGUGGCGAAGGCGGCUCUUUGGUCUGUAACUGACGCUGAGGCGCGAAAGCGUGGGGAGCGAACAGG